rnacentral:piRNA from 1 species
UCCAGGAACUCCGGAUCCCUUUGCUAGAAAA